rnacentral:rRNA from 1 species
GAUGAACGCUAGCGGCAGGCUUAAUACAUGCAAGUCGUGGGGCAAGCGUUGGUAGCAAUACCGACGCCUAGACCGGCAAACGGGUGAGGAACACGUACACAACCUCCCUCAUAGUGGAGAAUAACCCGGGGAAACCUGGACUAAUACUCCGUAACAUAUUGAAAAGGCAUCUUUUUAAUAUUAUAGCAGCAAUGCGCUAAGAGACGGGUGUGCGCAUGAUUAGGUAGUUGGCGGGGUAACGGCCCACCAAGCCUACGAUCAUUAACUGGUGUGAGAGCACGAUCAGUCACACGGGAACUGAGACACGGGCCCGACUCCUACGGGAGGCAGCAGUAAGGAAUAUUGGUCAAUGGAGGAAACUCUGAACCAGCCAUGCCGCGUGGAGGAUGAAGGUCCUCUGGAUUGUAAACUUCUUUUAUAUGGGACGAAAAAACGGUUUUCUAACCGGACUGACGGUACCAUACGAAUAAGCACCGGCUAACUCCGUGCCAGCAGCCGCAGUAAAAC